rnacentral:rRNA from 1 species
AUACGUAGGUGACAAGCGUUAAUCGGAAUUACUGGGCGUAAAGCGCACGCAGGCGGUCAACUAAGUCAGAUGUGAAAGCCCCGAGCUUAACUUGGGAAUUGCAUCUGAAACUGGUUGGCUAGAGUCUUGUAGAGGGGGGUAGAAUUCCACGUGUAGCGGUGAAAUGCGUAGAGAUGUGGAGGAAUACCGGUGGCGAAGGCGGCCCCCUGGACAAAGACUGACGCUCAGGUGCGAAAGCGUGGGGAGCAAACAGGAUUAGAUACCCUGGUAGUCCACGCUGUAAACGAUGUCGAUUUAGAGGUUGUGGUCUUGAACUGUGGCUUCUGGAGCUAACGCGUUAAAUCGACCGCCUGGGGAGUACGGCCGCAAGGUUAAAACUCAAAUGAAUUGGCGGGG